rnacentral:tRNA from 1 species
UCGGAGUGUAGCGCAGCCUGGUAGCGCACCACACUGGGGGUGUGGUGGUCGUCGGUUCAAAUCCGGCCACUCCGACCAA